rnacentral:rRNA from 1 species
AGAACGAACGCUGGCGGCGUGGAUUAGGCAUGCAAGUCGCACGUGAAAGAGGAGCUUGCUCCUUGAGUAAAGUGGCGAACGGGUGAGUAACGCGUGAGAAACCUGCCUUGUAGAGGGGAAUAACAGUCCCAACGGAUUGCUAAUACCGCAUGUUCUCGAUGGAUCGCAUGGUUCGUCGAGCAAAGGUGGCCUCUGCUCGCAAGCUAUCGCUACAAGAGGGUCUCGCGUCCGAUUAGCUAGUUGGCGGGGUAAAAGCCCACCAAGGCUACGAUCGGU